rnacentral:lncRNA from 1 species
GGGGGGGGGGGGGGGGGGGGGGGGGGGGGGGGGGGGGGGGGGGGGGGGGGGGGGGGGGGGGGGGGGGGGGGGGGGGGGGGGCGCGCCUGUUGUUUGUUUCUUCAUCAGCGGAUUAAGAUUCGCGGUCGUUCCCCGCUGCCAUUGGCUGCGCUGUGGUGACGUCGCCUCAUUUGCAUAUGACAUUGAGACGUCACAGCGCUUCCCCCCUUGUCCCGCCGCGACCCCGCCGGCCCGGGGCGAUGCCGGUGCCGGUGGCGAGCGUGGCGCGGGGGACCCGCCCGCGGUGGUCACGCCUGGGUGGUCCCGUGUCCCGCCCGCGCCAGUCGCUGCUGUGGCUUUUCUCGGCAGGAAACGUGUUUCUCCCCCCCGUGAUGUUCAGACGCUUUCCGGGUGCAAAACGUGGCGUUUCGGAAAAGGAAUGUGGAUGUAUAAAUAUAAAUCCUGCCAGCCACUGGCAGAUUUUCCAGGACUGUGUGUGAUGAUAUCAAGCAGCACAAGGUCACAUUUACCCUUGGGGCUCCCCCUCCUUCAGGCAGGGUCUGGAGGAGCAUGUGGGAACUCCAGUCCCUGCUGAGACCCUGGACUGGCUGAGGAAAGCCCUCCCAGGUUCCUGUCUUGAUCUGCCAUUAAUUAAAAGGUCUCAUGAUGAAGAGAUUUUUUGGAUUUUUCAAGCUGCUCCCUGCCUUCCCCCCCUCCGCUCCCCUGAUCUGCCAUGGAAGAGGCUGUGGCUGUGACUCAGCCUCUGUUUUGCUUGAAUCAGCCUGCCUGUGUUGGCAGCACCUUGGGGUGCAGCUCUGCCCCUGUGCCCAGGGCUCCCCCAAGGGAAUCCCAUCCCAAUGGGCCUGCUGGCAAAGCGAUGGGAUCAGCUGGACCUGUGGCACACUUGUUGUGGGAGCAAGCGUGUUAAUUCAGCCCUGCCCAACCGUCCCAGGCG